UCUGGAGCCGGUCUUUCCGGGCUCUGUUUUGUGGGCAAUAUAUGGGACCUCCGCCUUGCGGCGGGCGUUCCAACUUUUCAGAGGACAAUGACAAGGCUGGAAGUGAUGCGGAAGCAUCAUGAGAAGACAAGAGUAGAAACACAACAGAGUUUCACAAACGAGCAACCAGAAGGCGAGAACAUGUCGUUAGGUCGACGUUAGGCUUCUGUCUUCGGACAGGAGGAAGAUAUAACGGAAAGACAAGGGCGCAUGGGGGAUGCCUAGGCUCUCGGAGGCGAUGAAGGACGUGAUAAGCUGCGAAAAGCUGCGGCGAGUGGCAAAUGCACAUAGACCCGCAGAUGUC
rnacentral:misc_RNA from 1 species